AUGGUUGCAACUGGAAAAAAUCAUGUUGGGGGCAGGGACGGGGGGUGGGGGAGUUGCAUGUCUGACACUAGGCUCGCAACUGCAAGUGUCGCCCUUGACUGCAUUUGCAUGUCCGAUAUGCGAGGAAGCGGUGCGACGCCGGCGGACCAGACAAUCCAGACGACAGUCACGGCGGCCGCCGCGCUGCUCAACGCCCUUGCCAGGGGGUUCGUGCCCAUGGGCGCCGCUGCCGACGUGCUGAACCCACUCGCCAAGGAGUCUUUGCCCGUGGGCGCUGCCGCCGCGCUUAACCCGCUCAACAGGGAGUUCGUGCCAUGGUGGCGCGUUGGUGGCGGAUCAAGGAGGGGGCUCUCCGCGGACGCGCCGGAGUUCGUCGUGACGCAGGGGCUCUACUUGCAGGAUCCCACGGUGGUCGGCUACCCUGCGCACGGCACCGGCGUCUACAUCGGCAAUGCCGUGCCAACGAGGACCUGGAGAAGAUCAUCACUUUCCUUUCUGAAUCAAGCAUCUUCUUGGAUCUUCUCUUCUUCUGGUUGGACAGAUCAUUGUUUUUUUGAGGCCCAUGCACAGAGCAUGGUUGAUCCGUUCAAGACCUUGAUUAGGGUUAGCAACUACUCGCAACAGGGAAGGGCUAGGCAUUCUUACCGGGUUCAAAGGAUCCACGACGAAGAAUUUGUGAGAAGAACAAUUUAUGUUGGCGAUAUUGAUCACACCGUCACCGAAGAAAUGUUGGCUGGGCUCUUUGGUAUAUGCGGAGUCCAUCGACAAGCAUUAGAUUGCCGUCUUUGCGGAGACCCCACUUGUGGUUUUCGCUUCGCAUUCAUAGAGUUUCAGUAUCAGGGGGAUGCAUAUCUUGCGCUGCAUCUUGAUGGGAUCAUUAUAGGACUUCACCCUCUGAAGGUAGCACCUUCUAGGAAUGCAAUCGUGCCUAUCAAGCAUUCAUUUCUUCCUCAGUCUGAAGAGGAAAAGGAGAGGUCUUCAAGGACAGUAUAUUGCACUAAUAUUGAACAUAUGGUCACUGCUGCCGAGUUGAAGGACUUCUUCCAAACAUAUUUUGGCUCGGUUUCUCAUGUAAGGCUUUUGGGUCAUAACAACCAUGCCACUCAAAUAGCUUUUAUUGAGUUCGUGGAGGUUAGUGGCGCUAUUAUUGCUUUGAGCUCCAGCGGCAUAUACAUGAGAGGCCUUCCUAUCAGUGUGGUCCCUUCAAAGACACCAAUCAGGACAACCUUCAAUGAAGUGGCGUUGAAGAUCCGCGCGUCACUUUCCAUCCAAAAUCUUAAUUGCACCAAGAUAGCCAUCGUGUCAAAGUGCUUCAUCAGUGCUUUAGAUGUCGUGCUUCGUGCCGCGAUCAACCAGUCCUCUCUGCUCGCAAAGCCAUCAUCGAGCAAGAGGAAGUCAGCAACCACUGAUUUGCACACCUUCAUGCAAACCUGA
rnacentral:rRNA from 1 species